GCUGGGCAUGGUGGUGCAUGCCUGUAAUGCCAGCAGCUCGGGAGGCUGAGGCAGGAGAAAAGCAAGUUCAAAGCCAGUCCCAGCAACUGAGAAAGGCCUGAAGCAUCUCCAUGAGAUCCUGUCUCUA
rnacentral:sRNA from 1 species